rnacentral:rRNA from 1 species
UACGAAGGGGGCUAGCGUUGUUCGGAAUUACUGGGCGUAAAGCGCACGUAGGCGGUUAUUUAAGUCAGGGGUGAAAUCCCAGAGCUCAACUCUGGAACUGCCUUUGAUACUGGGUAUCUCGAGUAUGGGAGAGGUGAGUGGAAUUCCGAGUGUAGAGGUGAAAUUCGUAGAUAUUCGGAGGAACACCAGUGGCGAAGGCGGCUCACUGGUCCAUUACUGACGCUGAGGUGCGAAAGCGUGGGGAGCAAACAGG